CCCCCAUCUUAUUCUUUUAUAUAUUUUUUAAUAUAUUGAUCCUGGUUUUCAGCCAGAAAUAUAUGCACAGCUUAUUUCUUUUGGUUAACAUUCCUCGUUCCCCUGAAUUGCAGUUCCUUUUUAUUAAAAAAACAACAACUUGAUCCCUACCUGGGAGCCAAUAGAGCUGAUAUUGUUUGAAAGAAACACUAUGAAGACAACAGAUGUAAUCUGGGACGAGUCUCUGUACUGUACAGACAGGCUGCUGACCUAAAGCCAUCUCAAUAGCCUCCCUUUUCUGUCACUUGAAUGUCGAUCUCCUCGGACUGCUCCCCCCGUGGCCGUCUCGCGGGAAAAUGCAAAAUUGAGAUGGCACACCACUCACUUUUACUUAAAUUUUAUAUUGUUUCGUCUACCAGGCCUAUGCAAACAUCAUCUCACUGUUCUAAAUCCUGGAGAAAGUACUAGGUAAAUUAUACUCCUUGGAUUUUAUUUACAGAGUCUCAGACAUACACCUUUUCGACUAACCCUCCAUUUUCUUUUUGUAAUAUUUUAUACAAGGGGGGUUUAACCUUCAUCUCCUGCAUUAAUGUGCUGAUGAGGUGUUUUCAAAUGGUACACACACACACACACACACACACAUCCUGCUUAACCUUUCAUCAGCUCUCUUUCUGGGGUCAUUCAAAGCACAGCCUUCCCCCCGCUCCUUAUCAAACUAGUUGGGACUCAAAAACACAUUUGUAUUUUUUCUCCCUUCUCCUUUAAUAUGCACAUCUGUCCACUCCUUACUGAUGAAUGAAGAAAAAAGGUACAAAUCAGUGGAAAUCAUCUCAUAUCUUAGCUUUAAAAACCUGUCUCUAGACUUUUUUUGUUUUUUAACUGGACUGAAUGAGUUUUUGGGUGUUUUCAAAAGGGGUUAAGCAGCUGGAAUGAUUUCAUCUUGGACUGUGCCAACACUACGUUACAUCAAUAUUAUUGCUUUACCGUGUGGACUUUGAAGUGGAGUCCCCCUAGCAUUCCAGCUGUAAACAGUAUUCUGGGAGUCGUGUCUUUGCUCGGAAACAUCUCCACACGACUGAUGGGAGGUUUCUUGGGGGGGAAAUGGAGCUAAAUGAGUUCCGAAAUGUGCAAAAAACCCAUUUCCUUCUGCUCCCUGGGGUUUUCUGUCCGUCCUUUUUUU